GGAGAUACGAGGAAUAGGUGGUGGCCGAGGAAGAAGGUACUACUUGAUGUGCGGUCAGAGACUGUUUGGAGGACACGAAGGCGGUGGUGGUGAGUUAGGAGGUGGAGUCACGUACGAAGGUGGUCAUUAUCAACCAAAAUGUGAAGGAGCUUUUGCUGCUGCUAUAAUUUUUUCUGUGAUAACCUCAGGAUCCUCUCUACGAUAAGCCCUUGAAGCUACAAAGGUUCCCGCUGAUGAAUCAGUUCGACUCAAAAAAUGCAAAUUAACAUCUUCCUUUAUUCCAGGAUAACAUCAGUGGCUGGAGCAGAAAUACAUAGAAUUGUUGCGCAAGUGUAAGGAAACUUAGAUCACAUGGACGACGACUCAAGAAAAUGGUUUUCAUAAAACUCUUGAAGAAAUCUAAGCAGAUAAACUUGGAGAGUGAUAAAGAAACCAGAUGGUGGUAUUUGUGAAAGAAAGAACUUUGGUGUUAUGAAUUCAGCAUGGAAAAAUCAGAUUUCUGAUUGGCUAUCAGAAAUUUGUAUAGACAAAAAGUGACGCAAAUCUUUAUGUCUUGGAAAUAAGAAGUGAGUAUGAAACAGAAUUGGAAAUGUAAAUAUCAAAGAAACCAAUAACACUCCAAAAUCGAUUUAAGCUUCUUGGAUCCAA